GCAAGUCGAACGAAGUCCAUGGAGCUUGCUCCGGAAGACCAAGUGGCGAACGGGUGAGUAACACGUGAGAAACCUACCCUGGAGUGGGGAAUAACCCGAGGAAACUCGGGCUAAUACCGCAUACCUUCCUUUGAUCGCCUGGUCGAAGGAAGAAAGAAUUUCGCUCCGGGAGGGUCUCGCGGCCUAUCAGCUAGUUGGCGGGGUAACGGCCCACCAAGGCAACGACGGGUAGCUGGUUUGAGAGAACGAUC
rnacentral:rRNA from 1 species